rnacentral:rRNA from 1 species
UAGGGAAUAUUGCGCAAUGGGGGAAACCCUGACGCAGCGACGUCGCGUGAGUGAUGACGGCUUUCGAGUUGUAAAACUCUGUUCUGGGGGAAUAAAAAAAUGAAUGUACCCCAGAAGAAAGGACCGGCUAACUUCGUGCCAGCAGCCGCGGUAAGACGAGGGGUCCAAGCGUUGCUCGGAAUUAUUGGGCGUAAAGCGGGUGUAGGUGGCUGAAUAAGUCAGAAGUGAAAGCCAUGGGCUUAACCCAUGAAGUGCUUUUGAUACUAUUCAACUUGAGUAUGAGAGAGGACUGCAGAAUUCCUGGUGUAGUGGUGAAAUAUGUAGAUAUCAGGAGGAACAUCGGUGGCGAAGGCGGCAGUCUGGCUCAAUACUGACACUCAGACCCGAAAGCGUGGGGAGCAAACAGG